rnacentral:rRNA from 1 species
CGAUAACGAACGAGACCUUAACCUGUUAAAUAGCCAGGCCGGCUUUUGCUGGUCGCCGGCUUUUUAGAGGGACUGUCAGCGUUUAGCUGACGGAAGUUUGAGGCAAUAACAGGUCUGUGAUGCCCUUAGAUGUUUUGGGCCGCACGCGCGCUACACUGACAGAUCCAGCGAGUUUAUUUCCUUGACCGGAAGGUUUGGGUAAUUUUGUGAAACUUUGUCGUGCUGGGGAUAGAGCAUUGCAAUUAUUGCUUUUCAACGAGGAAUUCCUAGUAAGCGUGAGUCAUCAGCUCGCGUUGAUUACGUCCCUGCCCUUUGUACACACCGCCCGUCGCUACUACCGAUUGAAUGGCU